AUAUUUUUAAAUUUUAGAUAGACAAACUCCAUUCAUCUGUCGGGACAAUAAUGACUGUUAUGAACACUAUUCUGGAUCUUACUGCAAACAAACAAACUGCUUCUGUGAAAAUUUUCAUGAAAAGAGCAAAUCCCAUGCAAAGCCAGUGAUAGAUACACUUAAUAUAUGUGUUAUCCAGUCUACUAGUUUAGAGACACGAUCAGUAUUUCCAUGGAAAACUGUUCUUGCAGUAUGUGGAGCUCUUGGAGUUGUAGCCCUUCUUUUUGUAGGUUUAAGGUGGAUUUAUCCUAUGAUGCAGGAUAUGAACUGCCCAAACCACAGAUCAGAAUGGCAGGAGCCAUCAAGAGAAGGUUCAUUUUAUUCUUCACACCCAUCUGCUCCUAGAGAAACCACCUUACCAACACAGCAAAGAAAUUAUAAUCAUUCAGAUAAUACACUAGAUGAUAAGCCUCCACCAUAUGAAACAAUUCAAUUGUUAGAUGCUCCUCCUAAGUACGAAGAUGCCUCGGCAACUCAAAACAUUCGCCAGACAACCGGAU